rnacentral:snoRNA from 1 species
UUGGCUGGUUCGAAGACCACAAAACGCUCAUCAAAGUUGCGUGGUUCAAAAACAAUAAGCCAAAAGCAAUUUUUGUCACGACGGUCUCUGAUUCGGCACUCCACAGUCGUUCCAGUAACUUUACGUGCAAUUACAGUC